rnacentral:rRNA from 1 species
UCCAGCAGCCACAUCACCCUGCAACUCACAGCUGGCAGCCCACUGAAGCUCAGCAGGUGUGAGCUUGGCCAAUACUUGGAAGGGAGACCUCUUGGGAAAAACUAAGGUUGCAGCUGUAA